rnacentral:misc_RNA from 1 species
GCCUUGAGCCUUUGAUAACUAUGGCAAAAAGUGUUGUUGGAGAUUCCUAGCUAUAAUAGGGUGCUAUAGUAAAAUAUAUUGAUAUAUUGUGAGAAAAGAAGUUUGGAUGGUUGCCUUGGACAAAUCAUUUAGGUUAGUAAUGUGUUAAGCAAGCAAAUGCAUGCCUGAGCUUAUUCAACCUUGUUACAAAUCAUUUAGGUUGUAUUCUCCUGGCUUGUUACCAAUAUAAUCAGUCCUAGGCCCUCAAAGAUAUUUUGUAAGGAUGUUUGUUAAUUGGUCAUUUGAAUUGACAAGACUAGUAUAAAUACAUACCAACUCAUUCUUUUGUCAAUAAAGUGACAAUCUAUUUAUAUGUGCUUUAUUCUUUCACAACACAUAAGAUUUGGAGCAAUAUGUAGUGUGGCUUGAUUGUUACAAAUCAAUUUCAUCUAUUCAUCUCCUUCACAUUUUAACUCUUGAAGAAGCUGAUUUAACCAUAUAAGCUCA